GACGAACGCUGGCGGCGUGCCUAACACAUGCAAGUCGAGCGAUGAAGUUUCCUUCGGGAAACGGAUUAGCGGCGGACGGGUGAGUAACACGUGAGUAACCUGCCUCAAAGAGGGGGAUAGCCUUCCGAAAGGAAGAUUAAUACCGCAUAAUAUCAGAUGGUCGCAUGGCCGACUGAUUAAAGGAGCAAUCCGCUUUGAGAUGGACUCGCGGCGCAUUAGCUAGUUGGUGAGGUAACGGCUCACCAAGGCGACGAUGCGUAGCCGACCUGAGAGGGUGAUCGGCCACAUUGGGACUGAGACACGGCCCAGACUCCUACGGGAGGCAGCAGUGGGGAAUAUUGCGCAAUGGACGAAAGUCUGACGCAGCAACGCCGCGUGGGUGAUGACGGUUUUCGGAUUGUAAAGCCCUGUCUUCGAGGACGAUAAUGACGGUACUCGAGGAGGAAGCCACGGCUAACUACGUGCCAGCCGCCGCCGUAACAC
rnacentral:rRNA from 1 species